rnacentral:rRNA from 1 species
CUACGGGAUGCAGCAGUGGGGAAUAUUGCACAAUGGGCGCAAGCCUGAUGCAGCCAUGCCGCGUGUAUGAAGAAGGCCUUCGGGUUGUAAAGUACUUUCAGCGGGGAGGAAGGGAGUAAAGUUAAUACCUUUGCUCAUUGACGUUACCCGCAGAAGAAGCACCGGCUAACUCCGGGCCAGCAGCCGCGGUAAUACGGAGGGUGCAAGCGUUAAUCGGAAUUACUGGGCGUAAAGCGCACGCAGGCGGUUUGUUAAGUCAGAUGUGAAAUCCCCGGGCUCAACCUGGGAACUGCAUCUGAUACUGGCAAGCUGGAGUCUCGUAGAGGGGGGUAGAAUUCCAGGUGUAGCGGUGAAAUGCGUAGAGAUCUGGAGGAAUACCGGUGGCGAAGGCGGCCCCCUGGACGAAGACUGACGCUCAGGUGCGAAAGCGUGGGGAGCAAACAGGAUUAGAUACCCCGGUAGUC